UCUCCCUUGGCGUCCCUUACAGAACGUGGUUCCGUGGUUGGUAGUAGAAUAGCGGGGCUAAUGGAGACUUUUCCUGAAAGUUGAUUCCCACCUAUAACAAUAGUUCUUACUGCUUGGUCCGACAUACUCUACUUCAGGGGUGAAAUCUACUUACCUUCCUUACCGGUUCGGAAGUGCACAUGCCACACGUCACAUCUGCAUGCAGACUUUCUGAGCAUGUGCAAAACACCCGGGCGUGUGGGCGGAGCUUCACUCCACCACCGCUACCAGAUCACCAGAUCAGAUUUAUGGCUCUGAUAAUUGCAAUCACUGGAGAUUGCAGUGUGACCAGAAGAGCUUUUGACCAGGUUGGAUGUGCAUAGUUGUGACCCUUCAGGUACAGAAGACCUGACCACAGUGAGUCACAUUCCUAUCAUUUGCUGGUUAGAAUAUUUAACUAUACGUGGGAUGCCCUUAAGUUUUGGGGAUGUCCAAAGCUGGCAUUAAAUAUAGAUGCCUGUUUGCAGUCUGGUGGAAACUGAUUCAGUACACUACCCCUCUGCUGCUUUGAUUGCCUGUAAACUUUUGGGUUCAAGAUGGUGAUCAGGAUCUAUAAGGCUCUUUUUUGCUCAAUUCUUUAUUGCUUUGGGACCAUCUAUUCCAGGUGAUUCUGCUCAUUCUAUAUGUGUUAGCUAAGGAGUAGUUUGGAUUCUUAUUCCUUUAGGAAUGGGGACAUAGAGUAUGACCAUUUUAGUUGCAGCUCUUUCACUUAGGAACUAUUUGGUGAAGAGGUGAAGAUGGCUUUUACCUAGUAAAGCAAUAAAAUCAAUGCUUCAGGUCCUUAGGAGAAGAGAACCUUAAAUAAGGCAACCAGCAGUAUCUUGGGGCAGCUAUUAACGGCUAAGGAGCAUUGGUUAUGUUUUAUGUUGAUUAAAUGGUCAUGUUUCUAUAAUCGCAAACAGUACAGAAUUCAUUAGUAAGUAGAAUAUAAAUACUUGUAUAAAACAUAAAUAAUAAAAUAUUAUAUAAUCAUGUUAACUCAUUUAUUGUGUUGCUGCAUUCAUCUGUCAUCAAAUUAUUUAAUAUCACACAUUAAA